UACGAAUGGAGCGAGCGUUGUUCGGAAUCACUGGGCGUAAAGCGUAUGUAGGCGGACUGGAAAGUCAGGAGUGAAAUCCCGGGGCUCAACCCCGGAACUGCUUCUGAAACUCCCAGUCUAGUGUCCCGGAGAGGUUGGCGGAAUUCCGAGUGUAGAGGUGAAAUUCGCAGAUAUUCGGAAGAACACCAGUGGCGUAGGUGGCCAGCUGGACGGGUACAGACGCUGAGAUACGAAAGCGUGGGGAUCAAACAGG
rnacentral:rRNA from 1 species